GUCCUGGCUGUAAACGAUGUGCACUUGGUGUAGCGGGUGUCGACCCCUGCUGUGCCGAAGCUAACGCAUUAAGUGCACCGCCUGGGGAGUACGGCCGCAAGGCUGAAACUCAAAGGAAUUGACGGGGGCCCGCACAAGCGGUGGAGCAUGUGGUUUAAUUCGACGCAACGCGAAGAACCUUACCUGGGUUUGAACCGCGAGUGACAACUCCAGAAACGGAGUCUUCCUUCGGGACACUCGUAGAGGUGCUGCAUGGCUGUCGU
rnacentral:rRNA from 1 species